AGAGAGAGACAUGCGCGCAUAUCAAUAAGCGGAGGAAAAGAAACUAACAAGGAUUCCCCUAGUAACGGCGAGUGAAGCGGGAAGAGCUCAAAUUUGAAAUCUUAAAGGGUUUCCCUUUACGAAUUGUAGUUUAAAGAAGUGUUUUCUGUUGAGGUUUUGGUAAAAGUUCUUUGGGAAUAGGACAUCAUAGAGGGUGAGAAUCCCGUAUUUGACCUUUACUUUCAACUUUGUGAUACACUUUCAAAGAGUCGGAUUGUUUGGGAAUGCAGUCCAAAAUGGGUGGUAAAUUUCAUCUAAAGCUAAAUAUUGGCGAGAGACCGAUAGCGAACAAGUACCGUGAGGGAAAGAUGAAAAGAACUUUGAAAAGAGAGUUAAACAGUACGUGAAAUUGUCAAAAGGGAAGCGUUUGACACCAGUGUUGUUUUUCUGAAAAUCAAUUAAAGAACUGUUUAUGCUAAGCUUGUUUAGACUUUAUCAGCUAACUGUUUAGUUUUGAGCUUUUCUUUAAUGCACUUUUCAGUUAACAAGUCAACAUCAAUUUCUUUUGCUGUAAAAAAGCUUGAGGAAGGUGGCUUGAGAUUCGUCUUAAGUGUUUAUAGCCUCUUGCCUAUGCAGUCGGAGAGAUUGAGGUCUGCAGCGUAGAUCCUUCGGGGCUAAAUGCAUUUGUGCUAAGUUAUAGCAUUUUAUAGACAACUUGUUGACUAUGAUUUGUCUUGUAGCUUACUCGCUUAUGUUAUUUUACCUACGCUUAGGAUGUUGACGCAUGAGAUAUACGC
rnacentral:rRNA from 1 species